CUGGGAUUAGAUACCCCACUAUGCUUAGCCCUAAACACAAAUAAUUAUAAGAACAAAAUUAUUCGCCAGAGUACUACCGGCAACAGCCCGAAACUCAAAGGACUUGGCGGUGCUUUAUACCCUUCUAGAGGAGCCUGUUCUAUAAUCGAUAAACCCCGAUAAACCUCACCAAUCCUUGCUAAUACAGUCUAUAUACCGCCAUCUUCAGCAAACCCUAAAAAAGGGACAAAAGUAAGCUCAACAAUAACACAUAAAGACGUUAGGUCAAGGUGUAACCUAUGGAGUGGGAAGAAAUGGGCUACAUUUUCUACCCAAGAAAAUUUAAUACGAAAGCCAUUAUGAAAUUAAUAGCCAAAGGAGGAUUUAGCAGUAAACUAAGAAUAGAGUGCUUAGUUGAAUCAGGCCAUGAAGCACGCACACACCGCCCGUCACCCUCCUCAAGUAAAUAUGAUAUACUUAAACCUAUUUACAUAUAUCAACCACACGAGAGGAGACAAGUCGUAACAAGGUAAGCAUACUG
rnacentral:rRNA from 1 species